rnacentral:rRNA from 1 species
GGGUUGUGAGGUUAAGCGACUAAGCGUACACGGUGGAUGCCCUGGCAGUCAGAGGCGAUGAAGGACGUGCUAAUCUGCGAUAAGCGUCGGUAAGGUGAUAUGAACCGUUAUAACCGGCGAUUUCCGAAUGGGGAAACCCAGUGUGAUUCGUCACACUAUCAUUAACUGAAUCCAUAGGUUAAUGAGGCGAACCGGGGGAACUGAAACAUCUAAGUACCCCGAGGAAAAGAAAUCAACCGAGAUUCCCCCAGUAGCGGCGAGCGAACGGGGAGCAGCCCAGAGCCUGAAUCAGUGUGUGUGUUAGUGGAAGCGUCUGGAAAGGCGCGCGAUACAGGGUGACAGCCCCGUACACAAAAAUGCACAUACUGUGAGCUCGAUGAGUAGGGCGGGACACGUGGUAUCCUGUCUGAAUAUGGGGGGACCAUCCUCCAAGGCUAAAUACUCCUGACUGACCGAUAGUGAACCAGUACCGUGAGGGAAAGGCGAAAAGAACCCCGGCGAGGGGAGUGAAAAAGAACCUGAAACCGUGUACGUACAAGCAGUGGGAGCACAGAGCAAUCUGUGUGACUGCGUACCUUUUGUAUAAUGGGUCAGCGACUUAUAUUCUGUAGCAAGGUUAACCGAAUAGGGGAGCCGAAGGGAAACCGAGUCUUAACUGGGCGUUAAGUUGCAGGGUAUAGACCCGAAACCCGGUGAUCUAGCCAUGGGCAGGUUGAAGGUUGGGUAACACUAAUUGGAGGACCGAACCGACUAAUGUUGAAAAAUUAGCGGAUGACUUGUGGCUGGGGGUGAAAGGCCAAUCAAACCGGGAGAUAGCUGGUUCUCCCCGAAAGCUAUUUAGGUAGCGCCUCGUGAAUUCAUCUCCGGGGGUAGAGCACUGUUUCGGCAAGGGGGUCAUCCCGACUUACCAACCCGAUGCAAACUGCGAAUACCGGAGAAUGUUAUCACGGGAGACACACGGCGGGUGCUAACGUCCGUCGUGAAGAGGGAAACAACCCAGACCGCCAGCUAAGGUCCCAAAGUCAUGGUUAAGUGGGAAACGAUGUGGGAAGGCCCAGACAGCCAGGAUGUUGGCUUAGAAGCAGCCAUCAUUUAAAGAAAGCGUAAUAGCUCACUGGUCGAGUCGGCCUGCGCGGAAGAUGUAACGGGGCUAAACCAUGCACCGAAGCUGCGGCAGCGACGCUGAUGCGUUGUUGGGUAGGGGAGCGUUCUGUAAGCCUGUGAAGGUGUGCUGUGAGGCAUGCUGGAGGUAUCAGAAGUGCGAAUGCUGACAUAAGUAACGAUAAAGCGGGUGAAAAGCCCGCUCGCCGGAAGACCAAGGGUUCCUGUCCAACGUUAAUCGGGGCAGGGUGAGUCGACCCCUAAGGCGAGGCCGAAAGGCGUAGUCGAUGGGAAACAGGUUAAUAUUCCUGUACUUGGUGUUACUGCGAAGGGGGGACGGAGAAGGCUAUGUUGGCCGGGCGACGGUUGUCCCGGUUUAAGCGUGUAGGCUGGUUUUCCAGGCAAAUCCGGAAAAUCAAGGCUGAGGCGUGAUGACGAGGCACUACGGUGCUGAAGCAACAAAUGCCCUGCUUCCAGGAAAAGCCUCUAAGCAUCAGGUAACAUCAAAUCGUACCCCAAACCGACACAGGUGGUCAGGUAGAGAAUACCAAGGCGCUUGAGAGAACUCGGGUGAAGGAACUAGGCAAAAUGGUGCCGUAACUUCGGGAGAAGGCACGCUGAUAUGUAGGUGAAGUCCCUCGCGGAUGGAGCUGAAAUCAGUCGAAGAUACCAGCUGGCUGCAACUGUUUAUUAAAAACACAGCACUGUGCAAACACGAAAGUGGACGUAUACGGUGUGACGCCUGCCCGGUGCCGGAAGGUUAAUUGAUGGGGUUAGCGCAAGCGAAGCUCUUGAUCGAAGCCCCGGUAAACGGCGGCCGUAACUAUAACGGUCCUAAGGUAGCGAAAUUCCUUGUCGGGUAAGUUCCGACCUGCACGAAUGGCGUAAUGAUGGCCAGGCUGUCUCCACCCGAGACUCAGUGAAAUUGAACUCGCUGUGAAGAUGCAGUGUACCCGCGGCAAGACGGAAAGACCCCGUGAACCUUUACUAUAGCUUGACACUGAACAUUGAGCCUUGAUGUGUAGGAUAGGUGGGAGGCUUUGAAGUGUGGACGCCAGUCUGCAUGGAGCCGACCUUGAAAUACCACCCUUUAAUGUUUGAUGUUCUAACGUUGACCCGUGAUCCGGGUUGCGGACAGUGUCUGGUGGGUAGUUUGACUGGGGCGGUCUCCUCCUAAAGAGUAACGGAGGAGCACGAAGGUUGGCUAAUCCUGGUCGGACAUCAGGAGGUUAGUGCAAUGGCAUAAGCCAGCUUGACUGCGAGCGUGACGGCGCGAGCAGGUGCGAAAGCAGGUCAUAGUGAUCCGGUGGUUCUGAAUGGAAGGUCCAUCGCUCAACGGAUAAAAGGUACUCCGGGGAUAACAGGCUGAUACCGCCCAAGAGUUCAUAUCGACGGCGGUGUUUGGCACCUCGAUGUCGGCUCAUCACAUCCUGGGGCUGAAGUAGGUCCCAAGGGUAUGGCUGUUCGCCAUUUAAAGUGGUACGCGAGCUGGGUUUAGAACGUCGUGAGACAGUUCGGUCCCUAUCUGCCGUGGGCGCUGGAGAACUGAGGGGGGCUGCUCCUAGUACGAGAGGACCGGAGUGGACGCAUCACUGGUGUUCGGGUUGUCAUGCCAAUGGCACUGCCCGGUAGCUAAAUGCGGAAGAGAUAAGUGCUGAAAGCAUCUAAGCACGAAACUUGCCCCGAGAUGAGUUCUCCCUGACCCUUUAAGGGUCCUGAAGGAACGUUGAAGACGACGACGUUGAUAGGCCGGGUGUGUAAGCGCAGCGAUGCGUUGAGCUAACCGGUACUAAUGAACCGUGAGGCUUAACCUUACAACGCCGAAGGUGUUU